rfam:Anopheles melas strain CM1001059_A cont2.16746, whole genome shotgun sequence.
CGCAAGCUCCUUAGAUCCAUUUCUGUAACUGCGAAAGAAAUGCUUGAGUCAUAAGCUUGCCAGAGCAAUUUAUUUCGAGCUUUUGGAACCCU